CGGGACGGGUGAGUAACGCGUGGAUAACCUGCCUUACACUGGGGGAUAACACUUAGAAAUAGGUGCUAAUACCGCAUAAGCGCACAGCCCCGCAUGGGGAGUGUGAAAAACUCCGGUGGUGUAAGAUGGAUCCGCGUCUGAUUAGCUAGUUGGCAGGGUAACGGCCUACCAAGGCAGCGAUCAGUAGCCGGCCUGAGAGGGUGGACGGCCACAUUGGGACUGAGACACGGCCCAGACUCCUACGGGAGGCAGCAG
rnacentral:rRNA from 1 species